GACGUAGGGCGCGAGCGUUGUCCGGAUUUACUGGGCGUAAAGGGCGCGUAGGCGGCCACCGCAAGUCGGUUGUGAAAUCUCUGGGCUUAACCCAGAAAGGUCAACCGAUACUGCGGGGCUAGAGUGCAGAAGGGGCAACUGGAAUUCUCGGUGUAGCGGUGAAAUGCGUAGAUAUCGAGAGGAACACCUGCGGCGAAGGCGGGUUGCUGGGCUGACACUGACGCUGAAGCGCGAAAGCUAGGGGAGCGAACGGG
rnacentral:rRNA from 1 species